rnacentral:rRNA from 1 species
GAUGAACGCUGGCGGCGUGCUUAACACAUGCAAGUCGAACGGUAAAGCCCAGCUUGCGUGGGGGGUUAGUGUCAAGCAGGUGAGUAACACAUGAGUAACCUGCGCUUAAGUCUGUGGGAAGCCUGCAGGACAGUGGGGAUAACCGGAGAUAGGCGCCUACGGCGCGGGGUGGGGGGGGGAGAUUUAUCGGUUUUGGAUGGACUCGCGGCCUAUCAGCUUGUUGGUGUGGUAGUGGCUCACCAAGGCGCCGACGGGUAGCCGGCCUGAGAGGGUGACCGGCCACACUGGGACUGAGACACGGCCCAGACUCCUACGGGAGGCAGCAGUGGGGAAUAUUGCACAAUGGGCGGAAGCCUGAUGCAGCGACGCCGCGUGCGGGAUGACGGCCUUCGGGUUGUAAACCGCUUUCGGCAGGGACGAAGCGAAAGUGACGGUAAUUGGUGAAGAAGCACCGGCUAACUACGUG